rnacentral:lncRNA from 1 species
CAUAUUGAUAAUUAGCAGUAUAAAUAUCAUAGGUCAUUGACACUCUACAAUUUAAGGAUUCUAAUAAUUUUUGAAGUCCAAUUAUCAUUUCAAUAUAUUACUUCAUUGCUUCUCCAUGAAUGGUUUCCUACGAAUUCAUCUAUAUUGGGGUUGUAAACCCUGUUGGAUAUAUCGCUCUAAUUUUUCUGACUCUGCUCUUAUAAAUGGUUCUUCCUCAUGAAUUAUCCACCC